rnacentral:rRNA from 1 species
GAUGAACGCUAGCUACAGGCUUAACACAUGCAAGUCGAGGGGAAACGAUAUUGGAAGCUUGCUUCCGAUAGGCGUCGACCGGCGCACGGGUGAGUAACGCGUAUCCAACCUGCCCACCACUUGGGGAUAACCUUGCGAAAGUAAGACUAAUACCCAAUGAUAUCUCAAGAAGACAUCUGACUGAGAUUCAAGAUUUAUCGGUGAUGGAUGGGGAUGCGUCUGAUUAGCUUGUUGGCGGGGUAACGGUCCACCAAGGCUACGAUCAGUAGGGGUUCUGAGAGGAAGGUCCCCCACAUUGGAACUGAGACACGGUCCAAACUCCUACGGGAGGCAGCAGUGAGGAAUAUUGGUCAAUGGGCGAGAGCCUGAACCAGCCAAGUAGCGUGCAGGAUGACGGCCCUAUGGGUUGUAAACUGCUUUUAUAAGGGAAUAAAGUGAGCCUCGUGAGGCUUUUUGCAUGUACCUUAUGAAUAAGGACCGGCUAAUUCCGUGCCAGCCGCCGCGGUAA